rnacentral:rRNA from 1 species
GAUGAACGCUGGCGGCGUGCCUAAUACAUGCAAGUCGAGCGAAUGGAUUAAGAGCUUGCUCUUAUGAAGUUAGCGGCGGACGGGUGAGUAACACGUGGGUAACCUGCCCAUAAGACUGGGAUAACUCCGGGAAACCGGGGCUAAUACCGGAUAACAUUUUGAACCGCAUGGUUCGAAAUUGAAAGGCGGCUUCGGCUGUCACUUAUGGAUGGACCCGCGUCGCAUUAGCUAGUUGGUGAGGUAACGGCUCACCAAGGCAACGAUGCGUAGCCGACCUGAGAGGGUGAUCGGCCACACUGGGACUGAGACACGGCCCAGACUCCUACGGGAGGAAGCAGUAGGGAAUCUUCCGCAAUGGACGAAAGUCUGACGGAGCAACGCCGCGUGAGUGAUGAAGGCUUUCAGGUCGUAAAACUCUGUUGUUAGGGAAGAACAGGUGCUAGUUGAAUAAGCUGGCACCUUGACGGUACCUAACCAGAAAGCCACGGCUAACUACGUGCCAGCCGCCGCAGUAA